rnacentral:rRNA from 1 species
UUGCUAUUUGGUGUCGAGUGGCGAACGGGUGAGUAACGCGUAAGAAUCUACCCAGUAGAGGGGGAUAGCCCGAAGAAAUUCGGAUUAAUACCGCAUAAUCUCUACGGAGUAAAGAAGGCCUCUUUACAAUGCUUUUACUAUUGGAUGAGCCUGCGUUAGAUUAGUUAGUUGGUAGGGUAAAAGCCUACCAAGGCGACGAUCUAUAGCUGGUUUUACGAGAAUGAUCAGCCACACUGGAACUGAGACACGGUCCAGACUCCUACGGGAGGCAGCAGUGAAAAAUAUUGGACAAUGGGGGAAACCCUGAUCCAGCAAUGUUGCGUGUGUGAAGAAGGUCCGAGGAUUGUAAAGCACUUUCAGUAUGCUAGAAAAAUGUAAAUCUAAUAGAUUUGCAUGUUGACCACUUAUAGAAGAAGCAUCGGCUAACUCCGUGCCAGCAGCCGCGGUAAUACAGAGGGUGCGAGCGUUAAUCGGAUUUUCUGGGCGUAAAGGGUAAGUAG